UGGAGUCAGUUUCUAUGAAAACUGGUUUAAUUCAAUUUAAAUAAUCCGAUUUCAUGUUUUUUUGUUUUUUUUUAUCAGAUCAGUUUUCUUCGUUCUUAUGAUUUUUAAAAUCAAUAUUUUCAGUUGUCGUUAGUUUAUUCGGCUAAUAAACACUUCUACAGUGAGACUCAACUAAGUGACAAUAACAAUGUUAGCUAUUUCUAACAAAGAAUGAAAAUAAUAACAUCAAAUUAGUCAUUUACUCGUAUUCUAAUAGUAUAAAAAUCCGGUGCAGAAACAGAUUUAUGUAGGAUCACAUGAAGGAUUGCUAACAACUUUCAAAUAGGCACACCUCAAUAUUCACGAGGGUGUCAUCAUUGAUUCAAAAACACAACUACAAAAACAUACACAGAAGAUACAAAAGCAGGUAACGAAUGUUAGUUCUGUUUGUCAUUACAAUUAGCAAUUUCGACCAAUCUAGUCUUCUGCGGCAUCUUCGAUUUCUUCAUCCUCUGGGACUCCUCGAAGGUAGAGAACAUUGUUACAUCUAGACAUGCAGACAAUGAAAUAAGAGAACAAGUUUCCAAUAAAUAAACGAGGUCAAGUUUUUGAUGGCACAAAGAAGGGACAGAUCGAACAUUAAGAGCAAAAACGAAGAUUGAUGAGAAUAAGAGGACAAGUUUACAAGAAAUACCUAAAAUAAAUGAGGAUGUGACAAAGAAGUAAAAAAAAAAAAAGAAAAAAAAAACUAGCAAGCUGUUGAAUUGAUUGCUUGAGAAUAUCACCAGAGGGUCACAUAGUGAUUGCCAGAGGGUUGCACUGCGUUUGUGCAACAGUCGCAAGGUAGAAGAGGAGACAAGUGAGGUAUAGUAAUAAACUUUGAAAGAGUUUUCUACAAGCUGAAACCAUUUCAGUAUCCAAAAAUAAAAUAAAAAAUAUCUCCAUCAAAUAUCCUUCUGAUACAGUGAAAUGUAACAUUACGGCAGUGCAUAUGGUGGCCAGGGCAACUACACCUCUAUAGCAUGCUACUAUUAAAAAAUAUUUAUAGUUCCACCAUAUAUAUAAAUACAAUCACAUGAGAUGGGUAAAACACAGGAUAAAGAAAGACUACAAAGAACAAAAUUAACUUUUUUUUGCAGCACAUUAUGAAAGUGAAUUUCAGGGAAGAUAUGCUUUGCUGGGAAGAAAUGUCAUAGAGCUGUGGCAGAAAUACACCAAUAUAUAUAUAUAUAUAUCCAUUCAUCCGUCCAGGUGAUUUUAAAUUCUCUUAUAAUACAUUUCAAAAUUAUAACUGAGCGUGAAUUUAAAGGGAGAUUUAUAUCAUUCAUAAUACUUUUAUUGCAGUUGAACAGUAUUAUUUUUUCGUGAAGCAUAUAGUCAUAAAAAAAGUAUUAUCUAAAAACUUAUACCAUAUUCAAUGAAGAUUUGAUAUUAUUGUUUUCUUUUAUGUGUGACCUGUAUACACGGAAAUUUAAAAGUAAAGGUUUUUAAUUAAAAACAUUUGUCGUCUAAAAAUAUAUGUAUCUUUCAAUGCUUGAUUUUUUAAGAUCUAGAAAAAAUAAUAAAAUAUAUUUAAUACUCUUGACCAUUUAUUGUGGAUACACAUUUGCACUGACAUAAUUCAAUGGGCCAGCAACAGCUAGUUAUGCAGUAUGGACUUUUUCUUUCCCUUUCAAUCUUCUAUCAUUACUAACUAAACCCCAUACUUUUUCUUUCCCUUUCUAUACUUCUAGUAUUACUAACUAAACCCCAUACUUAAAUAAAAAGACUAAAAUAUUCUUCUUCGCUGCACCACACCAUCACUCCGUCAUUCUUUCUACGAUUGAUGCCCCCAUCAUCUCUAAAGAGGAAGAAGAAGAAAGAAAACAUGUUGAGAAGAAAAGCUCGUUUACAAAAGCUCAUUUCUCAACGCUUUAGGAAAGCUUAUUCCAUAAUACAUUUCAUGUGUUCAAAAAAGAUUAUUUUGGAAAUUCCGUUCUGAAAAUCUUAUUCUUAAAAUUAUGUUCCAAAAAUUUUGGAUAACCUGUUCUAUAAAAGGUUUCCAAAAAAAUAAUCCAGAUGUCACUUUUAAAAUGAUAAAAUUAUCAUUUAAAAAAAAUUAGAAGUGUGGGGCUAGAAUUUAUGGGAGUGCGAGAAAAAAAGCCUGCAUAUGUCUAAGUUGGGCUGGAUUUGGCCCCUUUUAAGAUGUUGGGUUUAGCUCGCUAUGCCCACACCAGGGGGUUGCUCCCUCCACCUCCCUCAUUUCCUCCCUCCACCUACCCCGUCCUCUUUUAUCCCACUCUAUUUUUCUAUUCCUAAUUUAUCCUUCAGUAAAAAUUUAUUUUUAGGAUUAAAAUUUUAUAAUUUCUAUCCACUUCCUUUAUACAACCAUUCAUUCAUUCAUUUUUUUUUUAUAGUUGAUGUUCUCCUUCUUGGUCUUUUGCCUUGAAAUUCUUUCUCUUAUUUUUCUUAUUUUUCUUUUGGUGUGAGAAUCUUAUGAGUUUACUGGAAAGAAUCGCUCAAGGAGUAACAAACUUCAAUGUUGCUUGAAUUGAAGGUGGUGGUGGAGUCUAUUAGUGGAGCGUUGUGUGAAUAAGCGCCCAGGUAAGUAACUCUGAAUCAAUCGUGAAAAACCCUUAAACGGAUACAUCUGUCAGCGGAUGUCAUCAUCCGUUUAAGGUAAAACGGAUGUCGACAACACCGUUCUCUCUUACUCCAUCGACGCCACCGUAGAAACAACAUUGCUCCCAAUGUCAGUACUCAACCCACAACACCAACAACAGUCUCCAAUCAGCAACAUUUAUGCACAAGGAGUCUUCCAAGCUCCAAUAAGCAUCCUUCUCCCCGUAGUUUCUUGCGAAGAAGACAAAGUUGGGCCAAGAAAGCAGAUUCACUAUCCUGAACUCCAUCAGGUUGUUCAAGUCCAAAUCCAACCCCAUGAAUCCAAUCUGAAUCCAAGCUCUUCCCCAUCUUCAUCCUUCAUAUCCAUAACACUAUCAAAACCAAAUCUCGAACACCCACUUCCUUGUACCACGGGAAAUCUUUGUCAUGAUGAUAAACCUUGCAGCGGCUUAGAACACCUUGUAUACAUUUCCAACCCCAUUUAUGAAAACCACGAGAGCCAAAGGAGCGGAGCAAAUACCCGAGACACCAGACACUUCACCUUCACGUUUGGAAAGAAGUGGUUCUUCUGAGGAGGAUAAGGCAACCCUUUCUGUCACCCACUGACCUCCAUCUACCCCUCCUUUGACUCCAAUGAAGAAGCUCCCUUUAGAGGCUUGUUCCGUUUCUCUAAGAGAUGCAAGGUCCUUGGCCACUUCAUGCAACGAUUCUCGUUUGGACUGGGAGAGUUUGGAGCAAGAGUUUUAAAAAAUGUUUUCAACAUGAAACGGAUCUGGAGUACAGGAACGAAUCUGGAGUUUGGGGGGUGAGAAUCUAAGAGAAGGGGAGGCGGGGUUGUUGCUGAAGUAAAAAGUUGAAAUAUAGGUUACUUAACUAAACAGGGUUAAAAAGUAAAAAAUAAAGUAAAAAAGGUUAAAAGACGGUUAUUUAUGCAAUUAAAAAAAAGUUGGAAAAAAUUGGGGAAGUGGAGGGUGGAAACGGGGAGGUGGAGGGAGCAACACCCCCCACUCCAAUGUCUUGUCACUCGUACUUGCUGCUCUGUCGGACAGACCUCCGUGGGUUAAUAUCAUGCUUUCUCGAAGCUUUUGAUAGUUUUUGUUUACAUUUAUAUAUUUCAAAAUAAAAGCAAUUAAAAUUAGAUUAGUACUUAGUGGUAAGGAGUUUAACUAAUCUGUACAGUUCAUACUUCAAACCUUAUUACAUUCGUGGAGAAAAAUCCUUUUUACUUGUAAUAGCUAUACACAACUUAAUAUCUUAUUCUAAUAUUGCUCCAAGUACCGCAACACAUUUUAAAUAAUUUUUUUUUUCUUAAAAAAUAUGACCACAAAAUGCCUAAAAUAUUAUAUACUCCAUAAUAUCAUAAUUUAUACACAUAACUAUUAAGUUUUAGCUCUAAAGAGAAUUUGAAUUUUUUUAAGUAGGUUUGAACCAUAUUAAGUAAGAAGGAUGUUCUCAGAGUAUUCUGACUAGAAGUUGUGAAAUGAUGCAUCCACAUUUAAAAUCGUUAUCUAACAACAAAAUUAGAGAACAAGACUUUAGAACAAGUUUGGAGUGAUACAAAUCCAAUUGUGGAGUAUUUUAAAAUCUUUGGACAUUUAGUACAUGCACAUAUAUCAUAUCAAAGGAAGGCUAAACUAAAAAAUAAGAGUAGAAAUUGUGUUUUUCUAAGAUUCAAUGAUGAAUCUAAGACAUGAGAAUCUAAGUCAUUGAAAUUGAUGUUUUAUAUUAGUGUUGUCAAAACGGGUCAAUUGGCCCGACCCACCACGGUUUGAUCACUUAAGGACGUUGCUCCCUCCACCUCCCCGUUUUCUCCCUCCACCUUCCCCUUCCUCUUUUAUCCCUUACUCUAUCUUUAUAUUCCUAAUUUAUCCUUCAGUAAAAGUUUAUUUUUAGGGUUAAAUUUUUAUCAUUUCUAUCUACUCUCCACACACAACCUAUUCAUUCUCUAUUACGUUCAUGCUCUCAUUCUUACUCUUUCAUCUUGGGAAUUCUUUCUCUUCUCUUUCUUUUGAUGUGAGAGUCUGGUGAGUGAAAGGUUGCUGGAAGGAAUUGUUGUAGGGGUAACAAACUUCAAUGUCUGCAUUGCUUGAAGGUGGUGGUGGACUUUAUCAACGUUUAAGAAAAGUUUGUGAAAAAACGGCGAGGUACAUAACCCUAAAUUAACCUAGAAAACUCUUAAAUGGAUGUGAGCAUCCGUCAACGGAUGUCAACAUCCGUUUAAGGUAAAACGGAUGUCAACAUCCGUUUAAGAGUUUUCAAGGUUAAUUUUGAGAUUAAAAAUUGAAUCUUAUAUAAAGGAUGAAUUUGAAUCUGAUAUAAAGAGUGAGUGAGUGUGACUGGUGUAGCUUGGUUUUUGUGCCUUCAAAACCAAAAUGAGUAUUGAUGAUCAAAUUUCAUUUGGGUGACCUUCUUGCCAACAUUAGAUAGGCAUCUAAAUUCAACCUUUCCACGUUUUUCUCCUUUGACAAGACUAACAUCAGAGGUAUUUUCGAAAAUUUCACCCACAAACCCUUUUGGUUUUUCCACAUAUUCAUCUUCCAUAGAAUCGAUCAAAAUAUUCUUCUCUUCACCUGCAAAAAUUAAUAGGUUACUUAAUUAAAUAGGGUUAAAAAAUAAAAAAUAAAGUAAAAAAGUUUUAAAAAAAAGGUUAUUUUUGUAAACGUGGUGGUGGAGGGAGCAACCCUAUCACUUAAUGAGUCAAUCCAAUCUGGCUCAUUUAUUAGCGAGUCAGAAAAAUUUGAACUCGACCCAACCCACCACAGGUUGGCUUACUAACUCACUUAAUUACAAUUU
rnacentral:lncRNA from 1 species